UACGGAGGGAGCGAGCGUUGUCCGAAGUUACUGGGCGUAAAGCGCGCGUAGGCGGGAAAUUAAGUGAGAAGUGAAAGGCUGGGGCUCAACCCCAUGCAGUGCUCCUCAUACUGGUUUUCUUGAGGGUGGUAGAGAGAAGUGGAAUGGCUGGUGUAGCGGUGAAAUGCGUAGAUAUCAGUCGGAACACCAGUGGCGAAGGCGGCUUCUUGGGCCAUUACUGACGCUGAGGCGCGAAAGCCAGGGGAGCGAACGGG
rnacentral:rRNA from 2 species